UCUUACAGUAAUUAAUUAUAAGUAAAACCUGCUCAACGAUAAAUCACACUAAAUAGCCGCAGUUAAUCUGUGCUAAGGUAGCAUAAUCACUUGCUUUUUAAAUGAAAGAUAGAAUGAAUGGUUAAACGAUAAUAAACUUUUUAAUAUAAAUUAAUAAAAUUAAUUUUAAAGUAAAAAAGCUUCAAUAAACAAACAAGACGACAAGACCCUGAUGAACUUAUAAAUUUAGUUGGGGCAACAAAAAAACAAAAUCUUACUAAACAAUUACAUAAAACUAUUAAAAUAAAUAUAACCUAGUUACCGCAGGGAUAACAGCGCAAUUUUUUUUAAGAGUUCUCAUCUAAAAAAACGUUUACGACCUCGAUGUUGAAUUAAUUAAACUAUAAAAACGCAAAAGUUUCAUAAGUGAGUCUGUUCGACUAAUAAAAAAUU
rnacentral:rRNA from 1 species